UACGUAGGGGGCAAGCGUUAUCCGGAUUUACUGGGUGUAAAGGGAACGUAGACGGCACUGCAAGUCUGGAGUGAAAGCCCGAGGCCCAACCACGGGACUGCUCUGGAAACUGCGGGGCUGGAGUGCAGGAGGGGUAAGCGGAAUUCCUAGUGUAGCGGUGAAAUGCGUAGAUAUUAGGAGGAACACCAGUGGCGAAGGCGGCUUACUGGACUGUAACUGACGUUGAGGCUCGAAAGCGUGGGGAGCAAACAGG
rnacentral:rRNA from 1 species